rnacentral:rRNA from 1 species
CAGCAGCCGCGGGAAUACGUAGGUGGCAAGCGUUGUCCGGAACUAUUGGGCGUAAAGGGCUCGCAGGCGGUUUCUUAAGUCUGAUGUGAAAGCCCCCGGCUCAACCGGGGAGGGUCAUUGGAAACUGGGAAACUUGAGUGCAGAAGAGGAGAGUGGAAUUCCACGUGUAGCGGUGAAAUGCGUAGAGAUGUGGAGGAACACCAGUGGCGAAGGCGACUCUCUGGUCUGUAACUGACGCUGAGGAGCGAAAGCGUGGGGAGCGAACAGGAUUAGAUACCCCAGUAGUCCCUGUCUCUUAUAC